rnacentral:rRNA from 1 species
UGGGGAAUAUUGCACAAUGGGGGGAACCCUGAUGCAGCGAUGCCGCGUGGAGGAAGAAGGUUUUCGGAUUGUAAACUCCUGUCUUAAAGGACGAUAAUGACGGUACUUUAGGAGGAAGCUCCGGCUAACUACGUGCCAGCAGCCGCGGUAAUACGUAGGGAGCGAGCGUUGUCCGGAAUUACUGGGUGUAAAGGGAGCGUAGGCGGGAUUGCAAGUCAGAUGUGAAAUUUAGGGGCUUAACCCCUGAACUGCAUUUGAAACUGUAGUUCUUGAGUGAAGUAGAGGUAAGCGGAAUUCCUGGUGUAGCGGUGAAAUGCGUAGAUAUCAGGAGGAACACCGGUGGCGAAGGCGGCUUACUGGGCUUUUACUGACGCUGAGGCUCGAAAGCGUGGGGAGCAAACAGGAUUAGAUACCCUGGUA